rnacentral:rRNA from 1 species
GCCGCGUGUGUGAAGAAGGCCUUAUGGUUGUAAAGCACUUUAAGCGAGGAGGAGGCUACUUUAGUUAAUACCUAGAGAUAGUGGACGUUACUCGCAGAAUAAGCACCGGCUAACUCUGUGCCAGCAGCCGCGGUAAUACAGAGGGUGCAAGCGUUAAUCGGAUUUACUGGGCGUAAAGCGCGCGUAGGCGGCUAAUUAAGUCAAAUGUGAAAUCCCCGAGCUUAACUUGGGAAUUGCAUUCGAUACUGGUUAGCUAGAGUGUGGGAGAGGAUGGUAGAAUUCCAGGUGUAGCGGUGAAAUGCGUAGAGAUCUGGAGGAAUACCGAUGGCGAAGGCAGCCAUCUGGCCUAACACUGACGCUGAGGUGCGAAAGCAUGGGGAGCAAACAGGAUUAGAUACCCUGGUAGUCCAUGCCGUAAACGAUGUCUACUAGCCGUUGGGGCCUUUGAGGCUUUAGUGGCGCAGCUAACGCGAUAAGUAGACCGCCUGGGGAGUACGGUCGCAAGACUAAAACUCAAAUGAAUUGACGGGGGCCCGCACAAGCGGUGGAGCAUGUGGUUUAAUUCGAUGCAACGCGAAGAACCUUACCUGGCCUUGACAUAGUAAGAACUUUCCAGAGAUGGAUUGGUGCCUUCGGGAACUUACAUACAGGUGCUGCAUGGCUGUCGUCAGCUCGUGUCGUGAGAUGUUGGGUUAAGUCCCGCAACGAGCGCAACCCUUUUCCUUAUUUGCCAGCGAGUAAUGUCGGGAACUUUAAGGAUACUGCCAGUGACAAACUGGAGGAAGGCGGGGACGACGUCAAGUCAUCAUGGCCCUUA